rnacentral:lncRNA from 1 species
CAAUUAUAAUUGAACCCCAUGCUCUUUAGUAUCAAAGGCAGGACAAGUGAAUGUUCUUAAGAAGCAUUGGGAGAGAAAAUCUAGUAUCCUUGAAAUUCAUAAUGUCCAAAACUCCAAUCCAUUUGCAUGCUUUCAAAGUAUAGUGAGAAGGCAAAUGCAGAUGAAGAGGAGUUAGUUUUGCAAGACAUUUUUAAUCAAAAAAGUGAUUUUACAAUUGAGGACCCUAACAUGUAUGAAUAUAAAUUCCUUCGCGUAUUUAUUUAUGUAUUUGUUUUAGUGAUAAGAAUUCAUUCCUUUUAUUAACCGAUAUUGAGUUUUGAGGCCCUGAAUGUUUGAAGGUAGUUUGAAGUUACUGUGAAUUAUUUGAGUGAUCACAAGCCCCUUAUCAAUGGAUUGUGA